rnacentral:misc_RNA from 1 species
AAUAAAAAGCCUUAGCAUAGGAUGAGAGGAUCUCAACAUCUCGUAGAGCCCAUGAAAUUGAAAUUAUUUUAUAAUGGGAAGACUCUCUCUAGAUUCUAGAGAGAGAAAUCUCUCUCAUUUUCUUCAUCUUCUGUGCUAUUACAGCUUUUUUCUUGUCAAUAUUACAAGCUCUCUUGCCUCGUUUGAACAAGGGAUGGCUUUCCCCUAGUCCCAGAGAGUCUGUCUCCAAUUUCAAUCUCUAAAUAGUUUUCCUUUAUUGAAUUUUGUUGAGUUUUGUUGCAGGUCGAUUACUCUAUGGGAAGGGCUGUUGAUCUGGACCUGCGUAUCUCCACUGCGCCUCUAGAAGCUGCUCUCUAAGUUACGUUUCUGGGUUGCUCUAUUCUGGAAGCUCGACUUUUGGGAGGGUUUGAGAAUGGUGCUCUUAUGGGUUUAGGCUUUUCGAUGAUUGUUCUUCAGUGUUUUGAAACCAAAAUUUACUUUGGGAUAGACAAAGUUAUAGACUUUUCUAUUAGGUAUGUUCCCGUUUCAGUCCCAAACUUAAUCUAUGAGCAAUCUCAGUUCCAUACUCAAAAUCUAUGAGCAAUUACAGGUAAACAACAUCAACCCAUAUGAAAAAACAACAAAUCUCAACAAAAUAGAAUAAAAUAUAAGAAAUAAAUCUGAGAUAAAAUAGAUACUUAUAAUCUCAUCAAAGGAAACACCAACAAAACCAAAGAUCUCGCUAACCAAACACCAAAUACGAACAGAUUCUUGAACAUCAAAAUGGGUUUGAGUCUCUUGAACAUCAAAAUAUAGCAAACUCAUCCUAUACGCCAAGCUCUUACUAGCCAAAGACCUCGCUGAUGCACUCAUGCACAUCUACCAGCAAUCCCCAAAUGGGCUUGUGUCGUGAGUCUUGGUUUGAGGGAAGAGGCGUGAAGACGAGGGAGAUGCAGGUGGCGAUGUCGAAGGAGAAGAAAAAUGAUGAAAUUAAGGAGCCUAGUCAUAGAUUCUGUGUUAAGCCAGUGAGGAGCGUGAAGAAGAAAUUUAUGAGCACAAGAAGAACAGAAUAAGAAGAGGAGGAGGAAGACCAGCAAAUAUGCAGUUGCGAAAGAGAGGCAACGUAAGUGCUAAGGGGGAAGUAGUCGGAGCACAAGGGCCCCAAUAAAAGAAAAAA